AACGAACGCUGGCGGCAUGCCUAACACAUGCAAGUCGAACGAGACCUUCGGGUCUAGUGGCGCACGGGUGCGUAACGCGUGGGAACCUGCCCUUAGGUUCGGAAUAACUCCCCGAAAGGGGUGCUAAAACCGGAUAAUGUCUUCGGACCAAAGAUUUAUCGCCUUUGGAUGGGCCCGCGUUGGAUUAGCUAGUUGGUAGGGUAAAAGCCUACCAAGGCGACGAUCCAUAGCUGGUCUGAGAGGAUGAUCAGCCACACUGGGACUGAGACACGGCCCAGACUCCUACGGGAGGCAGCAGUGGGGAAUAUUGGACAAUGGGCGAAAGCCUGAUCCAGCAAUGCCGCGUGAGUGAUGAAGGCCUUAGGGUUGUAAAGCUCUUUUACCCGGGAUGAUAAUGACAGUACCGGGAGAAUAAGCUCCGGCUAACUCCGUG
rnacentral:rRNA from 1 species